rnacentral:rRNA from 1 species
UACGAAGGGGGCUAGCGUUGUUCGGAAUUACUGGGCGUAAAGGGCGCGUAGGCGGCGUGUCAAGUCAGGCGUGAAAGCCCCGGGCUCAACCUGGGAACCGCGCUUGAGACUGGCAUGCUCGAGUUCGGGAGAGGAUGGUGGAAUUCCCAGUGUAGAGGUGAAAUUCGUAGAUAUUGGGAAGAACACCGAUGGCGAAGGCAGCCAUCUGGACCGACACUGACGCUGAGGCGCGAAAGCGUGGGGAGCAAC